UCUCGUGAACAAAAUAAUAACACGAAUGAACUAAAAAAAUAUAGACAUGAACAAAUCUUAUUAAUCCAUGAACAAAAAAAAUCUGUAACAUACACAUUUAUUCUUUCUCAUAAAAAAUCAAAUUAAUAGCUUCUGUCAAUAUUCUUACAUUUAUUGACGCAUAAGUUUGAGUUCAACACUAGAAUACCCCAAUGAUAAAAGAAAAAAGAAAAAAAGAAAAAAUACAAACAUCAAUAUCUAUACUCUGCUCAUACUUUGAAUUUGCUUCAUCCAAGCAAAACGAAGUUAGCUUUGAAUUCACAACUCGCGAUAAUCCGCAGAUGCAGAUUUCAAAAGGUC
rnacentral:lncRNA from 1 species